GGGAUCUCCUCCCAAAUCUGGACUAAAGCCAACUCCUGGACAGUGUGUGGUGCAUGACGUUGGUGGAUGGAGCGAGACAUGAUGUGCUCAAUUGGAUUCAGGACUGGGGAACGGGCGGGCCAGUCCAUAGCAUCAAUGCCUUCGUCUUGUAGGAACUGCUGAAACACUCCAGUCACAUGAGGUCUAGCAUUGUCUUGCAUUAGGAGGAACCCAGGGCCAACUGCACCA